rnacentral:rRNA from 1 species
GUGGGGAAUAUUGGACAAUGGGCGAAAGCCUGAUCCAGCCAUGCCGCGUGUGUGAAGAAGGUCUUCGGAUUGUAAAGCACUUUAAGUUGGGAGGAAGGGCAGUAAGUUAAUACCUUGCUGUUUUGACGUUACCGACAGAAUAAGCACCGGCUAACUUCGUGCCAGCAGCCGCGGUAAUACGAAGGGUGCAAGCGUUAAUCGGAAUUACUGGGCGUAAAGCGCGCGUAGGUGGUUUUGUAAGUUGGAGGUGAAAUCCCCGGGCUCAACCUGGGAACUGCCUCAAAAACUACUGAGCUAGAGUACGGUAGAGGGUAGUGGAAUUUCCUGUGUAGCGGUGAAAUGCGUAGAUAUAGGAAGGAACACCAGUGGCGAAGGCGACUACCUGGACUGAUACUGACACUGAGGUGCGAAAGCGUGGGGAGCAAACAGGAUUAGAUACCCGUGUAGUCC